rnacentral:rRNA from 1 species
GUGGGGAAUAUUGGACAAUGGGCGAAAGCCUGAUCCAGCCAUGCCGCGUGUGUGAAGAAGGCCUUUUGGUUGUAAAGCACUUUAAGCGAGGAGGAGGCUACUGAGAUUAAUACUCUUGGAUAGUGGACGUUACUCGCAGAAUAAGCACCGGCUAACUCUGUGCCAGCAGCCGCGGUAAUACAGAGGGUGCGAGCGUUAAUCGGAUUUACUGGGCGUAAAGCGUGCGUAGGCGGCUUUUUAAGUCGGAUGUGAAAUCCCUGAGCUUAACUUAGGAAUUGCAUUCGAUACUGGGAAGCUAGAGUAUGGGAGAGGAUGGUAGAAUUCCAGGUGUAGCGGUGAAAUGCGUAGAGAUCUGGAGGAAUACCGAUGGCGAAGGCAGCCAUCUGGCCUAAUACUGACGCUGAGGUACGAAAGCAUGGGGAGCAAACAGGAUUAGAAACCCCAGUAGUCC